rnacentral:lncRNA from 1 species
ACAAUAACUAAAAAGAUAAUAGUUAUUAUAUAGAUUAUAACCAUAUGCUUAUUUAUUAUAAUCGAGUUAUUGUAAGUUAAACAAGAUAAAAUGUUAAGUUCCAGGUAAUAAGUCUUUUUGAUAUGUAUCUUAUGUAUAUCUUGUAUUUUGCAGCAUGUUAAAGAAUAUUUCUGCAUGGUGCACUCUGACCUGUUGACAAUAUUUGCAUACUGAUAUGAGUAAAAGUGACUUCAACAACCAGAAUGUAUUUUUGAUAAAUAUUAGUAAUAACAGAUUUUAAAGUUCUUGCAAAAGAUGGUUUUAUCUAUGAAAAUAUUGAAAUUAAAAUCAAUCUUGCUGUUAUCAUAUGUGAUGGACCAGCUAGAGCAUUUGUAAAGUGUAUUAAAGGACACAAUGGUUAUAACUGAUGUGAAUGUUGUGUUUUGAAAGGAGAGUGGUGUGUUCAUAUUGAAACAAGAUAUUGUGUAAAGAGGUUUUCAAAGAAGUCGUUUUAACAACAAUGGAAAAGCUUCCAAUUCCUGAGAUAACCGUGAAAGCAUUCGAUACAUUAAAGAAUCGUUUAAAAGUUUGCUUAAUUUCGACAGUGUAAUUUUAAUUACUAUUUUUUUGAAAUAAACCAAUCAAUUUAUA